AUGGAACUCGCCCAAAGACUCCAGUUACCUCAUGUUUUCACGACAAUCUACAUGCUGCAUUUGGGUAAAGCUACUACUGUCCAGCCCAUCAGUAGUAGCACCGACCUCUAUGCACUUCUAUCCUUCAAAUCUCUUGCCACUGAGGACCCAUCGGGAGCCAUGUCUUCUUGGAGCUCCAAUGAGACCAUGUUUGGUUUCUGCCAUUGGAAGGGUGUAACAUGCAGCAGCCAUGCCCACCCUGGCCGCGUCACUGCCUUGCGCAUGCAAGAUCUUGGCCUUGUCGGUGCCAUCUCUCCGCAGCUCAGCAACCUCACCUAUCUCCAAGCCCUUGAUCUGUCAAACAACAGGUUACAAGGUGAGAUCCCCCAUGACCAUGGCAGCUGCGUCGCACUGCGUGCCAUCAACUUGAGUGUCAACUCCCUGUCUGGCCAGAUCCCAUGGUCCAUCGGCAACCUGCCAAAGCUCGCUGUGCUGAACGUCCGUAACAACAAAAUCUCAGGUAAUGUCCCAGCUUCAUUGGGCAACUUGACAGCACUGACUAUGCUUAGCAUCGCUGAUAACUAUGUCAAUGGGCGAAUUCCUCCUUGGAUUGGCAAUAUGACUAAUUUGACAGAUUUAAACGUUGCUGGUAAUGUCUUCCAUGGAUAUGUCCCAUCAAAUAUAGCUGGGCUAAUAAACCUUUUAGCUUUGAGCUUGUUAGGAAAUAAGCUACAAGGUGUGUUUCCCCCAGAGCUGUUUAAUAUUACAUCCCUUGAAAUUAUGUACAUCGGCCUAAACAUGCUAUCAGGCUUUUUGCCGAUGGAUAUUGGCUCCAAGUUGACUAACUUAGUUUUCUUGAGCACAAUCUAUAACCAAUUUGAAGGCCCGAUACCAGACUCUUUGUCAAAUAUUUCCAAACUAGAAUAUCUUCAACUCCAUGGAAAUAAAUUUCAAGGACGAAUACCACCGAACAUCUGGAGCUCCGGCACAAUCACAAGAUUAAACCUAGGUAACAAUAUUCUUGAAGCUAAGACACCAAAUGACAGGGAUUUCCUCACAUCCUUGACCAACUGUAGUGAACUAGUGACACUAGAUCUUCAAUUGAAUAGGCUUUCUGGAUUUAUCCCGAAUACACUUGUCAACCUCUCGCAAGAGCUCAUAUGGAUUGGACUUGGAGGAAACCAAAUAUUUGGGACCAUACCUGCAGGGAUAGGGAGGUUUCGCAAAUUAACUGUACUAGAGUUGGCAUGUAACAUUUUCACAUGCAACAUACCUUUAGAUAUUGGUCAGCUAUCUAGUCUCCACCGGCUGUUGUUGUAUGGAAACAAUUUGAGUGGGGAGAUUCCACCAUCGAUUCAGGAGUUGGUCAAUCUUGGUGCAAUUGAUCUCUCAGGCAAUAAGCUAUCCGGUCAAAUUCCAUACACCCUAGGUAGUUGUGUUGAGUUGGAAUUCUUAUUCUUGCAAGCGAAUCUAUUGCAAGGGAAAAUUCCUUCUGAACUCAGUACACUUAGAGGACUAGAAGACUUGGAUCUAUCAAACAACAACUUAUCAGGACCCAUCCCUGAUUUUCUUGGGAAUUUCCAAGGUCUCAAGCAUUUAAACCUUUCCUUGAACAACCUCUCUGGUCUUGUGCCAAAUAAAGGAAUUUUCUGUAAUCCCACUGCUGUAUCACUCUCGAAAUGCCCAUCAUCUCUUGCUCAUAAUAGUCAUUCAAAGCACCAAGUGCAGCUUAUAUUGAUCAUUUGUGUUGUUGGAGGAUUUACCAUAUUUGCAUGUCUAGUGACUUUCUAUUUCAUUAAGGACCAACGAACAAUCCCAAAAGAUAUUGAUCAUGAAGAGCAUAUCACAUCGCUUCUCAUAAAGAAAUAUCCUAGGAUAUCAUAUGUUGAGUUAUACGCUGCAACAGAUUCCUUGUCCUCGGAAAACUUAAUCGGCCGUGGAAGUUUCGGAUAUGUAUAUAAAGGGAAUUUAACUUCUGGUGUGAAUUCAGCUACGGUGGCCAUGAAAGUACUUGAUCUUCGCCAAAAGGGACAAACACAGGGCUUUUUUGCUGAGUGCGAUGCCUUGAGGAGGAUACAACAUCGGAAACUUGUUAAGGUUGUCACGAUAAUGAGUGUUGAUGCAUCAAGGCAAAGUUUGGGCGAAAGCAUUUCGAAUGGAGUUAGAGGCUCAAUUGGGUACCUUGCACCAGAGUAUGGGAUGGGAGCCGAGAUAUCAGCUAGUGGUGUAUACAGCUACGGAGUGUUGGUUCUCCAAAUGCUGACCGGGAAAGAACCAACCGACGCAAUAUUCGAUGGGACUACAAGUCUUCCAAAAUACGUCGAGAUGACCUAUCCGGACAAGCUAUCUCCAAUAGUCGACGCAGCUAUUAUUGCUAACAGUGGCGGCGGCCAAGAGACGAUAAAUAUGUUCAUUGUGCCAGUUGCAAAAAUUGGUCUAGCAUGCUGCAGAGAUAACGCUAGCCAGCGAAUGAACUUCGGUGAGAUAGUGAAAGAACUGGUCCCGUUGAACAAGUUGUGUCAAGAUUAUUUCCUCACUCAGGGGGCAAGUAGUGGCAACACUAGUGACAUCGGUAUCACGCUGUAACCAUACUAGA
rnacentral:lncRNA from 1 species